AUGAUUUUUCACACUCCCAUAACUCAGAACAAAAGCUGCCUUGCUUCUGCCCGCGGUGACACUCCUGUCCCUUGUCCCUUUGGCAGUGACCUGCUUGGAGAACUCGCCCUGGUGCUACGUUGUCUUCGCCCUGCUCUUCUCGGCAGUGGUUCUGCUCCUCACGGUCAUCCUGCUGGUGGUGAAAUGUUACAGCCGCUGAGGAACCCUGCUGACACACACGAUAAGUCAGCACAGGAAAGUUCUGCUUCUUCAACAAAACGGGACAUAGUGCUUGUUUUAUUUUACAUUAUUUUGGCUGAAGAGACAAAACGAAGACAUGCCAUCAAGUCUGAUCACUCUUCCGUUAUGUCACCCCAGAUCUCUGUUAAACCUCUAACCUCUCCAUACCUGGACAAGACAUAUAUUAAUUUUAUUUGGAAUUUUCUUAAUCCUGUAAUACCAGCAACCAUCCAACUAUAUCAGUGCAUGUAUCAAGACAUGGGCUCAAGCUCCUGCAUCAAAAGGUGGAUUUGGGCCUUGUUUAGACAACAAAAAUGACCAGGUGGGGACAUACUUUUAAUUCACAUCUGACUUGAUUCUGCACUGAUUUGCAAUACAGAUAAUCUUUUAGAUUGCAUUAUAUUCAAGUGCAAAAACUCAUGGACAAAAGAGGGAAUGUGAAAGGUUGCACUGAGCUUUUUUAUAAAGCCUAGGCUUGGACUUGAUUAUUUUUCUUCUGACAGCUGUUAAUUGGAUUUGUAUGAAAGGGAUAUUGGAGGUUCAAGAAACUAAAUGUUGCUAGUAGAGAAGUCUCAGUUUCAUCUCCUCAUUGGCUUGAAUUACAUUAUUCUGUUCCACUUGUCCAGAAGAGCAUCUCACAAUAUAUUGUUUCUGUCUUGGGGCAGUAAUUAAUUUUUGUAUUUGUUUGGGUUUUUUUGGUCCCAUGUGCCACAGCUUCAGUUAAAACUGGAACUGAAGCACUUGAAGUCCAAAUGCAUUCGUUUGUAAUUAUGAGCUUAUUGUCUGUUUUUAUAUUAUUUUUGGAUCUUAUCCAUUAUAACUUCUUUGAGGCAGGCUGCAGAGGAUUUGCAGACUCUGAGUAGGAGGAGUCUGUACAGCAAAUAUUUCUAAAAUAUUCCUUGUAUCCAAACUUAUCUGUACUUUAGCUGUUGCUGCUGUUGGUAAUGUACCCCAUCUUUAUAAUACAUGCACAGAAGUCAAUAAAGGGAUUCAGUAAAGCACUUUUGCUGGUGUUUGUUCUUCUGUUAGUCAGACUGGAGGAAAAAUAACAUUUAAUAUUUGCAUGAGUGUAACACCUCUGAGCUGUUGUUUUGGAGGUCUUAGCACCUGAAAGGCAACAACUUGCCCUGGGGAGACCACUGGGUAGGCUGCACAAUAUUGUCUAUGCAAUGUGAAUUGUUUAAACCAUGUUGCCUGGCCACUGGUUAUAUAUAUAUGACAUUAUGCACAUGACAUCAAAAAGGUUGUAUGUGACUGGAAAUCUGGCACUAGGAAGUUGUCUCUCUCCUUUGUUUCUUGACCCUUUGCUUUCCCCUGCAGCUUCCCUGAUUUCUUAUAUUGUAGUCUCUCUCCCGCUGGCUGCAGGCUCAUCCUGGAGCUAUGAGUGACACUCAUUCCUGCUCUUCUAUCUUGGCUGGGUUAUUUUUCCUGGCUGUUUCUUCCUAAAGGUGUAAUCUCCAGGACCAGCAGGAGUGGCAGAAUCCCUUUUCAUUUGUCAGUUUUUGUGGGGCAGCCUGUUCAUGGCACACCUAUUUUAUAGAUCUUGCUACUUACCCUAUUUUUUUUCAGACUUACCCUUGUCCUCCCCUCCUCAAAAAUGUAGGACAUAAAAUCCAUAAAGCCAGAAAUUAGACCCAAGACACAAGCAAAAGCCUGAGACUAGACAUUUGGAAAUACUAGAAUAUUAGAAAUAUUAGAUGAGCAGUGGAAGAUAGAACAAGGUGAGGGUACACAAAGCAAUCAGUGAGGGUGUCAGAACCAAAUAUGCCAAUAUUACUUUUAAUAAUCUUAUAUAUUUUUUAAUAGUUGAAUAUGACUCUAUCUCAGAGGAAGGCUACAUGACUGCUAUGUCCAGAGAGGUCCAUUUCUUUUACUCUUCUGCUUGAAAAUGUCUUCAGCCAACAGCCUCACAGGUACCCUGGGUCAUACACCCCUCAGGUUUUUACGGUGUGUGAUGACCUGCAGAGGAAAAUUUUAUUGAUUUUAUAGUAAUUUCCUGAAUAUUGGCCUCUUAGCCUAUUCCUUUGUGAAGUUUAAGGAGACAGGACAAAAAGGGUUUUAUUGUUUCUGGCCUUUUUCAUCAUCAUGUCAGGCCUCCUAGUUUAGUCAAAAAAUUUCAUGGAGGUCUCAGAGGGGCUGAUUCCCAUUCCCACAUCCCAUGAUGUGGGACCUGGACAGGCUAGAUAAAUGGGCUGAGGGUAUAGGAAUGAGGUUCAACAAGGCCAGGUGCUGGGUCCAGCCCCUGGGUCACAACAACCCCCAGCAGCUCCAGGCUGGGGAAGAGUGGCUGGAAGGAGCCCCAGAGGAAAGGGCCUGGGGCUGCUGGUCCACAGCGUGUGCCCAGUUGGGCAAGAAGGCCAAUGGCUCCUGGGCUGGGUCAGCAACAGUGUGGCCAGCAGGACCAGGGCAGUGGCUGUCCCCCUGUCAUGGGCACUGGUGAGGCCUCACCCCAAGUGCUGUGUCCUGUUCUGGGCCUGUCACUGCAAGAUGGACACUGAGGGGCUGGAGUGAGUCUGGGGAAGGGAACGGAGCUGGGGAAGGGGCUGGAGCACAAGUCUGAUGAGGAGCGGCUCAGGGAGCUGGGGGUGUUUAACCUGGAGGAGAAGAGGCUCAGGGCGGACCCUCUCACUCUCUACAACUCCCUGACAGGAGGGGGCAGCCGGGGGGGGUCAGGCUCUGCUCCCAGGGAACAAGGGACAGGACGAGAGGACACAGUCUGAAGCUGUGCCAGGGAAGGUUUAGCUUGGACAUAAGCCGGACUUUUUUCAUGGAAAGGGCGAUUAGAUAUCGGAACGGGCUGCCCAGGGAGGUGGUGGAGUCCCAUCCCUGGAGCUGUUGGAAAGAUGCACGUGGCACUCAGUGCCAUGGUGCGGCUGACACGGUGGCGAUCGUUCAAGGGUUGGGCUCGCUGAUCUCCGGGGUCUUUUCUAACCCGAACGCUCCAGUGACUCUGUGCAGGGCGCAGGCGGUGGCUGCGGGUUUCCCCUCAUCGCCAGCAGCCCCCUCGCCCCGCGCACCCCGGGGCCGUCUCGCUCCGCUCCCGUCUCCGCGGCAACCGGGCGGGCCGGGCGGGGCCGCACCGCCCCUUGGCGCCAGGCGCGGGGCCGGCCCGGCCGCGGCGGGCGGAGCGUCCCGGCAGCGGCGGCGCGGGCAGACCCGGCCCUUCUCCCCCGCGGUUCCCCCGGCGGCC
rnacentral:lncRNA from 13 species